rnacentral:rRNA from 1 species
UACGUAGGGUCCGAGCGUUGUCCGGAAUUACUGGGCGUAAAGAGCUCGUAGGUGGUUUGUCGCGUUGUUCGUGAAAACUCACAGCUCAACUGUGGGCGUGCGGGCGAUACGGGCAGACUAGAGUACUGCAGGGGAGACUGGAAUUCCUGGUGUAGCGGUGGAAUGCGCAGAUAUCAGGAGGAACACCGGUGGCGAAGGCGGGUCUCUGGACAUUUCCUGACGCUGAGGCACGAAAGCCAGGGGAGCAAACGGG